UGCAGUCGAGCGAAUCGAUGGGAGCUUGCUCCCUGAGAUUAGCGGCGGACGGGUGAGUAACACGUGGGCAACCUGCCUAUAAGACUGGGAUAACUUCGGGAAACCGGAGCUAAUACCGGAUACGUUCUUUUCUCGCAUGAGAGAAGAUGGAAAGACGGUUUACGCUGUCACUUAUAGAUGGGCCCGCGGCGCAUUAGCUAGUUGGUGAGGUAAUGGCUCACCAAGGCGACGAUGCGUAGCCGACCUGAGAGGGUGAUCGGCCACACUGGGACUGAGACACGGCCCAGACUCCUACGGGAGGCAGCAGUAGGGAAUCUUCCGCAAUGGACGAAAGUCUGACGGAGCAACGCCGCGUGAACGAAGAAGGCCUUCGGGUCGUAAAGUUCUGUUGUUAGGGAAGAACAAGUACCAGAGUAACUGCUGGUACCUUGACGGUACCUAACCAGAAAGCCACGGCUAACUACGUGCCAGCAGCCGCGGUAAUACGUAGGUGGCAAGCGUUGUCCGGAAUUAUUGGGCGUAAAGCGCGCGCAGGUGGUUCCUUAAGUCUGAUGUGAAAGCCCACGGCUCAACCGUGGAGGGUCAUUGGAAACUGGGGAACUUGAGUGCAGAGAGGAAAGUGGAAUUCCAAGUGUAGCGGUGAAAUGCGUAGAGAUUUGGAGGAACACCAGUGCGAAGCGACUUUCUGGUCUGUAACUGACACUGAGGCGCGAAAGCGUGGGGAGCAAACAGGAUUAGAUACCUGGUAGUCCACGCCGUAAACGAUGAGUGCUAAGUGUUAGAGGGUUCCGCCUUUAGUGCUGCAGCUAACGCAUUAAGCACUCCGCCUGGGGAGUACGGCCGCAAGGCUGAAACUCAAAGGAAUUGACGGGGGCCCGCACAAGCGGUGGAGCAUGUGGUUUAAUUCGAAGCAACGCGAAGAACCUUACCAGGUCUUGACAUCCUCUGACAACCCUAGAGAUAGGGCUUUCCCCUUCGGGGGACAGAGUGACAGGUGGUGCAUGGUUGUCGUCAGCUCGUGUCGUGAGAUGUUGGGUUAAGUCCCGCAACGAGCGCAACCCUUGAUCUUAGUUGCCAGCAUUCAGUUGGGCACUCUAAGGUGACUGCCGGUGACAAACCGGAGGAAGGUGGGGAUGACGUCAAAUCAUCAUGCCCCUUAUGACCUGGGCUACACACGUGCUACAAUGGAUGGUACAAAGGGCUGCAAACCUGCGAAGGUAAGCGAAUCCCAUAAAGCCAUUCUCAGUUCGGAUUGUAGGCUGCAACUCGCCUACAUGAAGCCGGAAUCGCUAGUAAUCGCGGAUCAGCAUGCCGCGGUGAAUACGUUCCCGGGCCUUGUACACACCGCCCGUCACACCACGAGAGUUUGUAACACCCGAAGUCGGUGAGGUAACCUCAUGAGCCAGCCG
rnacentral:rRNA from 1 species